UCCCCAACAAUAUCCUGGUGCUGAGUGAUGACACACGCAACUCCAGCAUCAGUGAUUUUGUUGAAGA
rfam:Equus caballus chromosome 11, whole genome shotgun sequence.